UUGCGGUUUGAAUUACCUUGCUUUUGAGAAAUUUCCGCGCCGCUUAGGGGACUUAAAACGAGAGGUUUGUGACGUCAUUUAAGGAACGUAUGAAUGCGCUGCAUACAACACAACAUAGUGUGAAAUAACAAUUCUUUAUAUAUUGCUUUGAAAUUAAUAUAAAAAUUUUACGAAACAUGUCGACAUCUGAUUCUGAGUCGAGUACAGCAACAACAGUGGAAAAUAUUGAAUUGAACAGUCGGGAAUUCGAUUUAGAAGACGAAGAUCAAUCGUCAUCAAAUGCGCUCCGAAACACCGAUGGCGAUUUUGAGUAUGGCCAAGCUGAAGCGUAUGAAAACGAACCACUUGCAGAUGAAGAGUGGUUAGAAAAGUAUAUUAGAGAAACAGAAGAAGAAAGACGCCAAACAGAAGAGCUCGAACGCAGAAUGCAAAAUGAAGUUCCUCUUGAUUCUUGGUGCCAUUGUGGUAACUGCCGUGUUCCUCUCUUGGUUAAUCCAAAAGAAUGUAGAUGCUGCCACGAAAUUGCCAAUUGCAUGAUUGAAAUGCAAGAUCAUAUGGUGGUAUCCGAAUUAGGAAGGCAGCCAAAAUGCAUAACAGAGCAUCCAGGAUUUGAUGCCAUUUGCCUCAAUCGAUGGGCAUUAAAUUGAGCUGCCAAUCUUUACCAAAGACAAGAUGGAGUUAGAUAUCAUAAAGGAUUCUUGGAGCAAAGGUUUUUUCGAGUUGUUGCAUAUAGACAAUUUACAAGAAUGGUACAUGGCAUUCUUCGAGACAAAAGAAUUCCACUUCCAGCUUGUGCUUACCAUGUUAUUUGAAAAACUUUUAAUUUAAAAAAAAUGAACACUUUGCAGGGUAUGAAGAGGACAAUUUGUAAAAUAACAUAACAUUAUAUAUUAUUUUAGGUGUUGUUUGCAUGAGCCCAGCUAGUAGGGAUUCAGUGAAGUGUGGAAUGAUUUAAGCCACUCUUGAUUUAUUGCAUCUUCAAUUCACACUUAUACUUGUUAUACAAAACAUACAAAAUUACAAUUCCUUUCUCUUUAUUCUGUCCAUGCAGUCAAUUCACACUUCACUGAAUCCCAACUAACUGGGCUCAUACCACCAGGUCCUAAAAAACUGGUUACUUUCGGUUUUUUGGACAGUUCAUUAUAUUUUUAUGGCCUUUCAUCCAAUUCUUGUACACAGUGCAUCGAGGUGCUGCUCUCUCAUUUCUCUGAUUAGUGAUUAUUUCUUGGACAGGUGAUACUUCAGCUAUAUCAAACAAUAAAGUGAGUCAGUUCCAAAA